rnacentral:piRNA from 1 species
UGUUCUAUUCUGGUAUAAGCUUCUAGAC